GCCGGGUGCGGUGGCGUGUGCCUGUAGUCCCAGCUACUCAGGAGGCUGAGGUGGGAGGAUCGCUUGAGCCCAGGAGUUCUGGGCUGUAGUACACUAUGCUGAUCGGGUGUCCGCACUAAGUUUGGCAUCAAUAUGCUGACCUCCCAGGAGCGGGGGACCACCAGGGUUGCCUAAGGAGGGGCGAACCGGCCCAGGUCAGAAACGGAGCAGGUCAAAACUCCCGUGCUGAUCAGUAGUGAGAUUUGGCCGCCUGUGAAUAAGCCACUGCAAACUCCACCUGGGCAAAAACUCAACUAU
rnacentral:SRP_RNA from 1 species